AGGUCAGAGUGUGCUUGCUCUGUUGGAGGGAUCAUAUGUCAUGUGUUAUUACUGGAGCAUAAAUUCUAUGAGGGACACCAAGAGAGGCUCUAGAUGCCAGGAGAGAACCUGUGGAUAUGCCUCUGAAAAAGAUGAGCGCUUACAGACUGAAUUAGAAUUAGGACAAAAAGGAUCUGCAAACAGCAACCUGUCACCAGUCAGAGAGGAAAAGAGAAGAAAGGGAUCUGAUUAGAAGAAACAAGUGAAACUUCCUUCUCCAAGGUCAUAUUGAAUAGAAAAAUGACUGACAUGAACAAGAAGUAAGGAACCAGCUAGAAAACUGUUGCAGUGGUCCAUAGUGCUUAAUGGCUGCGGAAUAAAUGAAAGAUUUAUUGAACACCUACCAUAGAACAGGCCUCUCUCUGUGAUGAUCCAGUAAUCACCAAGAUCCUGAAAGUGCUAAUAUUCCAGCUAAUGAGAGAAGGAAGAUCCAGGCAACUGUCAAGUUAUUUGAAACUUGAAGACUUA